GAAAGGCCCUGCUUGCAGGGUACUCGAGUGGCGAACGGGUGAGUAACACGUGGGUGAUCUGCCCUGCACUUCGGGAUAAGCCUGGGAAACUGGGUCUAAUACCGGAUAGGAGCCAUUUUUAGUGUGAUGGUUGGAAAGUUUUUUCGGUGUAGGAUGAGCUCGCGGCCUAUCAGCUUGUUGGUGGGGUAAUGGCCUACCAAGGCGGCGACGGGUAGCCGGCCUGAGAGGGUGGACGGCCACAUUGGGACUGAGAUACGGCCCAGACUCCUACGGGAGGCAGCAGUGGGGAAUAUUGCACAAUGGGCGCAAGCCUGAUGCAGCGACGCCGCGUGGGGGAUGACGGCCUUCGGGUUGUAAACUCCUUUCGCUAGGGACGAAGCUUUUUGUGACGGUACCUAGAUAAGAAGCACCGGCUAACUACGUGCCAGCAGCCGCGGUAAUACGUAGGGUGCGAGCGUUGUCCGGAAUUACUGGGCGUAAAGGGCUCGUAGGUGGUUUGUCGCGUCGUCUGUGAAAUUCCGGGGCUUAACUCCGAGCGUGCAGGCGAUACGGGCAUAACUUGAGUACUGUAGGGGUAACUGGAAUUCCUGGUGUAGCGGUGAAAUGCGCAGAUAUCAGGAGGAACACCGAUGGCGAAGGCAGGUUACUGGGCAGUUACUGACGCUGAGGAGCGAAAGCA
rnacentral:rRNA from 1 species